CAAGUACUCUCUCUGUCCCAAAUUCUUGUCUUGGAUUUGUCUAAAUACGGAUGUAUCAAGUCACGUUUUAGUAUUAGAUACAUUCGUAUCUAGGCAAAUCUAAAACGAGAAUUUUAGGAUAGAGGGAUAUGGG
rnacentral:pre_miRNA from 1 species